AAAAAAUUUUUAAAUAAAAAUAUUUAAUGGGGGUUAAAGUAUUUUUAUAGAAAAAAUUAAAUAAUUUAUAGUAAAUUAGUAUUGUGAAAGAAUUUUGAAAUAAUUGAAAUAAAAAAUUAUAUGAAAGUAAUUUUAAUUUAAUGUAUCUUGUGUAUCAGAGUUUAUUAAGAAAUAUUUUUAAAAAAAAAAUUCUCGAAUUUAAAAGAGAUAAUUAAUUAUUAAAGUUAUUGUAGCAUAAAUAUUUUAAAUAAUUAGUUGGAAAUGAAAUGUUAAUCGUUUUUAAAUAUAUCUAGUUUUUUUAGAAAAAAAUUUAAUUUUAUAUUAAUUUAUAAAAUAAUUAAUUAAUUAAUUAUUUUAUAAAUUAAUAUUAUAUUUUAAGGGAUAAGCUUUAAUUUAAAUUUAUAUAAAAUAUUUUAAUUUAAUUUUUGAAAUUUUUAUGAUUUAUAUUGUUAAAAAAAUUUAAUUUAUUAUAAAUAAUUUCAUUUAAAAAUAAAAUUUAAUAUAAUUUUUAUAUAUUUAUAAAAAAAAAUUAUUAAAUAAAAAAAAAUUGUUAUAAUGAUAAAAUUAGUAUAUAAUUAAAAAUUAAAAAUUAAUUUUUUAAUAAAAUUAAUUAAAAGGAAUUCGGCAAAAAUUUAUAUUCACUUGUUUAUCAAAAACAUGUCUUUUUGAAAAUAAUGUAAAGUCUAAUCUGCCCACUGAUUUUAAAAAAUUGAAGGGCUGCAGUAUUUUGACUGUACAAAGGUAGCAUAAUCAUUAGUCAUUUAAUUGAUGACUAGUAUGAAGGAUUGGAUGAAAUAUAAACUGUCUCUUAAUUAAAAUAUAGAAUUUAAUUUUUUAAUUAAAAAGUUAAAAUAAAUUAAAAAGACGAGAAGACCCUAUAGAGUUUUAUAAGUAAAUUAAUUAAGAUUCUUUAUUAAAUAAAAAAAAAAUUAAAAUUAAUUUAUUUAUUUUGUUGGGGUGACAAAAAAAUAAGUAAAACUUUUUUUAUAAAUAAAAACAUAUAUAAGUGAUUAAAUGAGCCAUUAAUAAUGAUUAAAAGAAAAAAUUACCUUAGGGAUAACAGCGUAAUUUUUUUUUUUAGUUCAUAUAAGAAAAAGAGUUUGCGACCUCGAUGUUGGAUUAAGAUAAAAUUUAAAUGCAGAAGUUUAAAAUUUUUGAUCUGUUCGAUCAUUAAAAUCUUACAUGAUCUGAGUUCAAACCGGUGUAAGCCAGGUUGGUUUCUAUCUUUUAAAAAUUAAAAUAUUUUAGUACGAAAGGAUUAAAUAUUUAAAUUAAAUUUAUUUUAAAUGAAUUUUAAUAAUU
rnacentral:rRNA from 1 species